AUGGGAGACCAGGAGAAGCACCUGGCUCCUGCCAUCGGAUCAGCGUGGUGUGCUGGCCGCGGUGGCCAUUGGAGGGUGAACCAACGGCAAAGGAAGACCUUUCUCUCUGUCUCUCUCUCUCUCACUGUCCACUCUGCCUGUCAAAAAAAAAGGUGUAUUCAUUCUAUUUAUUUGAAAGGCAGGGCCAGCACCGUGGCUCACCAGGCUAAUCCUCCACCUGUGGUGCCAGCACCCCGGGUUCUAGUCCCAGUUGGGGUGCCGGGUACUAUCCCAGUUGCCCCUCUUCCAGGCCAGCUCUCUGCUGUGGCCCGGGAGUGCAGUGGAGGAUGGCCCAAGUGCUUGGGUCCCUGCACCCACAUGGGAGACUGGGAGGAAGCACCUGGCUCCUGGCUUCAGAUCGGCACAGUGCCAGCUGUAGCAGCCAUUAGGGGAGUGAACCAAUGGAAGGCAGACCUUUCUCUCUGUCUCUCUCUGUCUCUAACUCUCUGUCUCUCUCUCGCACUAACUUUGCCUGGCAAAAAAAAAAAAAAAAAAAAAAAAAAAAAAAGGCAGAGCGACAGAGGGCGAGAUCUUCCAUUCGUGGCUUCACUCUUCAAAUGGCUGCCACGCCCAGGGCUACGCCAGGUAGAAGCCAGGAGCCAGGAACUCCAUGGGGGUUUCCCCAGGACUGGCAGGGCGCGCGGACCCCUCUCUGGAGGCUGCAGGAUGAGCAAGGGGAGGGGUGGUGCUGACUCUGUCCUAGGGUGUGUUUCUGGAAUGGACAUCCUCUUGGUCUUGUGCUCACACAGCUUGGCUGGCUGGCACGGGCCCUCUCCAGCCCCCGGCUCACAGCCACCCAGACACAGGGCCAGCUCACCCCGUCUACAGAUAGGGAAACUGAGGCUUGCCCCAGGGCGCCCGCCAGGAUGGGCCGGCUGGGACCCCGGCCUGGAUUCUUCUCCGACUUGGCAGCUGGAUGAGCCGUGCGGGGUGCAGGAGGCCCCAGUGAGCUCACUCGCAGCGCAGGGGCUGGGCCCCGAUCCCCGCGAGAGCGGAGCUCAGGCUGGGGAAAGGGCCCCUGUCCAGCGGGGCCUCCGCCCACUUCUGCCUCUCUGGGCCCGCAGCCAGCCUGUCCCUCGCUGGGGUGCCAGGGGGCCGCCUGAGCUGUCUCCCCUCUGGGGGUUCCAGUGGGCACUGGAGGUGGGCGGUCAGCAUUCCCACGGUCCCUCAGCCACCCAGGAACCAUUGUGCCGCCUGCUCCCUGCUCCGCCUUCUAAAAUGCAAAUCCGACCAUCCCUGCUGCCAACAGCCCGCUCUGUUCCCAGGCUCCCUGGACCAGAGGAGGGCCUCCCCCUCCUCACACCCCGGGGCCUUUGCACAAACCAACGGGGCAUUCUUUCCGGUCCUCCCUGCCGGCGACCCCCGUCUCUGGGAGGGGUAGCGUCUUCCUGA
rnacentral:lncRNA from 1 species